GUUCAAACGAGGAAAGGCUUACGAUGGAUAUUUAGGCACCUAGAGAUGAGGAAGGGCAUAGUAAGAGACGAAAUGCUUCGAGGAGUUGAAAAUAAGCAUAGAUCCUGAGAUUCCCGAAUAGGUCAACCUUUCGAACUGCUCGCUAAAUCUAUGGUUAGACAAGAAACGACCUGGCAAACUGAAACAUCUUAGUAGUCGAAGGAAAGAAAGCAAAAGUGAUUCUUGUAGUAGCGGCGAGCGAAAUGGGAGCUGCCUAAACUGUGAAAACGGGGUUGUGGGAGAGCAAUAAAAGCAUUGUACUGCUAAGCAAAACGAUGAAGUGCUAAACCCUUGAUGGCGAUAGUCUGGUAGCCGAAAACAUCAUUAGCUUAUGCUCUAACCCAAGUAGCAUGGGGCACAUGGAAUCCCGUGUGAAUCAGCAAGGGCCACCUUGCAAGGCUAAAUACUCUUGGGUGACCGAUAGCGAAGUAGUACUAUGAGGGAAGGGUGAAAAGAAUUCUUGUCGGGGAGUGAAAUAGAACAUGAAACCCUAUGCUCCCAAGCAGUAGGAAGAGCCCAGGGCUCUGACCGCAUGCCUGUUGAAGAAUGAGCCGACGACUCAUAGGCAGUGUGUAACAACCUAUUUUUAGUGAAAUCGAAACAGUGGUUUCGGGACCACAUAUCUGAGGUCAAAAAAUUUAUUUUUAUCUUAUUUUAUGAUCUACAAUAUAAUAGCAUUAUUGUAUCAAAAUUUCGUUAAGAAAUUUUAUCGUUUAUGUGUUCAAUUUUUGAAAAAGGAUUAAAUCGUGUAAAGUGCGAAAUUUGUGUUCUAUUAGCUAAAGGUAUUAAAUAGCUAUAGAAAUUUAAAGUGGAGGUCCUUAUACGGUAAUUAGACCAUUAAAUGAGUUAGUGGAUGUGCAUGGCUUGGUAAUUGUGAAAUUUUUAAAUUUAGGUAAGGGUAAUUUGGUAAAAAGGUAAUUAAAGAUAAAAUAAUCAAAAAAAUUAAAGUUAUCAUCUUUCAUUCUCUUCUCCAACCGAUUUUUACAGCAAAGAAUAGCCAUGGAUGCUUGAAAUUUUUGCCUAAGCAAAUCCCUUGCAUGUAAGUGAUAUCUUGUCUCGUUUUUGUUUAUUUUUAUAUUUUUGGGAUCGUUGUAGCUUAACCUAACUAAUUAGGGGACUAAUUUGCAAAAUGAUUGAAAUUCUAGGGUUUUAACAUGAGAGCAUUUCAGUUGUUUGUGAAGUUUAGUGGAAGAAAAUGAAUCUUUGUUGAGAAUUAAAUAACUUUUGUUAAGUGAUUUUUAAUGAAAUUGUCAAUUAGGGGUUAAAUUGAGAAAUAUGUAAAUUGUGUGGUAAAUGUGUGAAAUUAUGAAAUGUAUGGGUUGCUAUAAGUAUAUAUUAAAUUCAACUAGGCUUGGUUACGAGGGAAAUUGCAUGAAUUUCAUUUUAUGAGCCUAGGGACUAAAUUGUAAAGAAAUCAAAAGUAUAGGGGCAAAAUAGUAAUUUUUUAAAACAUAAUUUUUGGAUUGAAUUGAAUAGAAUAGAUAGGGGUUUAAAUUAGUUAAAUUUGAUUUAUAAAUCAAGAAAAGCAACGUACAGAUUUAGAUCGGGGAAAUGACAAAGUUUUGGAUUAAACGAUCGUUUUUCUCUGCACGAGUUUGAGCUAAGUUCGUGUAAUUAAAUUAUGCAUUUAUAUGCUUUAAAUUGAAAUAUAUGCAUGUGGAUUGUGUAAUUACUAGGUAUAAUUAUCAAGCGCAAAACCGACGACGUACAAAAAAUACUGAGCCCCGUUUGCACAUUAAGAAUUCGUAGGAUACAAAUGACGAAUUCCAGCUCUUAUCAGCUUACCGAUACUCCACUCGUAUAAGCUUACCACUAUUCAGUUUAGAGGAACUUAUUGAUACUCAACUCGUAUGAGCUUACCGUUAUUCAGCUCAGAAGAGCUUACCGUUUAUAACUCAUAUGAGCAUACAUGUACAAUAAUUGACGAAUUACAGUUCACUACACCUUGUGUGUACUACCCGCUAAUGAUAUUCUAAGUGGUUCAACAGGUGCAAUUUUGUUACGAGUUUAUAUGAGUUUGAUACAAACUAGUACAGGUAUUUACGUGAAUUAUAUGGAAAUGGUUUAUAUAUAUAAGAUAUACAGAUACAUGGUAUAAAUGUUACAUGUAUAUGGAAUUUAAAUAAUUGCUGAGCUUAUACAUAAUUCUCAGUUUUUAUAUGAAUUACAUAACUAACUUAGUUAGUGAUCAUGUGUUAGGCUUUGGCCAAAUUGAAUUGUGUUAUGCUUUGAGUUGUUUACCUAAAUUGUGGUUAAAUGGUAAGUUAAAUUCUGUGUUAUAGAACUUACUAAGCUUAAUUGCUUACUCUAUUUAUUUUUUUGUGUUUUAUAGUGUUUCGGAAGCUCAUUCAGAUUGGAAGUUGUCGGAGAUCUCAUCACAUUAUCAAACGCUAUUUUGGUACUUUUGACUUUAUAUUUUGGUUAAAUGGCAUGUAUAGGUCAUUUUGGCUAAUGGUAGCCUAUAUAUUUUGUUGUGUUUUAGCCAUUUCAAUUGGCUUGUAUUGUGGACAUACUUUUUGUUAUGUAAAUAUGUAAAUAGCCUUAUUGUAUAUGGUGCAAUGGUUACCAUAGGAAUGCCUUGUUUAUGAAUUGGUAUUUUGGGUACCAAAUAAUUGAGAUUGAUGAGUGACAUGCAUGCUAAAUAUUAGGCACAAAGAUGCAUAUAUGUGUAUAAUCAUCUAGGUAGAUUUUGGAGACAUAUUUGAAUGUUAUAAAUGGCCUAUUGAGGUGUCUAUAAGUAACAUGGUUGUAUGUGAUGUUAUAACAUGUGGUAAGCUUGAUAUUGCUUGGCCUUGAAUGCCUAUUUAUGUAAUGGUUAUGUGCAAGUUCUUGUGUUUAGGUUGGUACCAAUUUUGGGUGAGAAAUAUGACUUGGAAAACGGCCAAUUUUGUCUACACGGGCAGAGACACAGGCGCGUGUCUCAGCCAUGUGUCCCCUAUAAUUUCUAUAGGAAGCAAAUCAGUAGCUUCACAUGGCCUAGCACACAGACGUGUGGCUUGGCUGUGUGGCACAAGUCAGUAUACCCUCCACUUUUCACACAGCCUAGCACACAGUCUGGCACAUGGGUGAGUGAGGCCGUUUCGAAGGGUACAAGGCCUGGCACAUGGGCGUGCGGUCUGGCUGUGUAAACCAAGUUAAUGAGUUACACGGGUACGGGCACGAGCUGGGACAAAACCGUGUGUCCCUAUUUCGAAAGCCCAUACGACUAGAGAUACGGGCUUGUCUUUUGGCCGUGUGAGACACACAGCUUGGCCACAUGAACAUGUGUCCCCUACACUUUGAAAAAUUUCAAUGUUUACCUAAAAAUUCUUGAGUACUCGGUUUAGUCCCGAACCAUUUUUAAUGUUUAAUUUGGGCCUCAAGGGCUCGUAUUAGGGACUAUAUGAUUGAAUAUGAAUGGUUUUUUAUUUGAAUGAGAAAUGAACAUGAAAUGUUUGAUUGUUUGAUUUGUAAGUUCAGUAAUGCUCCAUAACCCUGUUCCGGAGUUGGAUACAAGUUAGGGGUAUUACAAAGUGGCUUGGUUAAGGGAACCCACUGGAGCCAUAGCGAAAACGAGUCUUCAUUGGGCAAUUUUCACUAUUUAUGGACUUGAACCUAGGUGAUCUAUCCAUGACCAAGAUGAAGCUUGUGUGAAACUAAGUGGAAGUCCGAACCGACUGAUGUUGAAGAAUCAGCGGAUGAGUUGUGGUUAGGAGUGAAAUGCCAUUUGAACCCAGAGCUAACUGGUUCUCCCCGAAAUGCAUUAAAACGCAACAUUUGACAGGACAUCUAGGGGUAAAGCAUUGUUUCGGUGUGGGCCGCGAGAGCGAUACCAAAUCAAGGCAAACUCUGAAUACUAAAUAUGACCAUAAAAUAACAGGGGCGAGGUCGACCAGUAAGACGAUGGGGGAUAAGCUUCAUCGUUGAGAGGGAAACAACCUGAAUCACCAACUAAGGCCCAUAAAUGAUUGCUUAGUGAUAAAGGAAGUAGGGGUGCAGAGACAACCAAGAGGUUUGCCCAGAAGCAGCCACCCUUGAAAGAGUGCGUAAUAUAGCUCACUGUUCGAGCACUUUUAUGCCGAAAAUUAACAGGGCUAAACGAUUUGCUGAGGCUGUGGGAUGUAAAAAUGCAUCGGUAAGGAGCAUUCCGCCUUAGGGGGAAGCACCCAUGUGAGCGGGAAUAGACGAAGUGGAAGCGAAUGAAUGUUGAUGGGUAUUAAUCA
rnacentral:ncRNA from 1 species